CGGGUGAGUAACACGUAUCCAACCUGCCGUCUACUCUUGGACAGCCUUCUGAAAGGAAAGAUUAAUGCAAGAUGGCAUCAUGAGUCCGCAUGUUCACAUGAUUAAAGGUAUUCCGGUAGACGAUGGGGAUGCGUUCCAUUAGAUAGUAGGCGGGGUAACGGCCCACCUAGUCUUCGAUGGAUAGGGGUUCUGAGAGGAAGGUCCCCCACAUUGGAACUGAGACACGGUCCAA
rnacentral:rRNA from 1 species